rnacentral:rRNA from 1 species
AGCGAACGUUAGCGGCGGGCCUAACACAUGCAAGUCGAACGGACAGUAGCAAUACUGUUAGUGGCGCACGGGUGAGUAACGCGUAGGUAAUCUACCCUUUGGCGGGGGAUAACGUUCCGAAAGGGACGCUAAUACCGCAUAAGACCACGCCUUCUUUGGGGGAGUGGGAAAAGGUGGCCUCUUCUUGAAAGCCAUCACCG